UACGUAGGGGGCUAGCGUUGUCCGGAAUCAUUGGGCGUAAAGAGCGUGUAGGCGGCCCGGUAAGUCCGCUGUGAAAGUCCAGGGCUCAACCCUGGAAUGCCGGUGGAAACUGUCGGGCUAGAGUCCGGAAGAGGCGAGUGGAAUUCCUGGUGUAGCGGUGAAAUGCGCAGAUAUCUGCAGGAACACCCGUGGCGAAAGCGGCGCGCUGGACCACUACUGACGCUGAGGAACGAAAGCUAGGGGAGCAAACAGG
rnacentral:rRNA from 1 species